rnacentral:lncRNA from 1 species
AGACAAUGGGGAUGGGGACAAUGGGGAUGAUGGGGACAUUGGAGAUGGUGGGGUGAGAUGUGGCGGGGAUGAUGGAGGUGGGGACGAUGGAGAUGGGAACGGUGGAGAUGAUGGAGAUGAAGAUGAUGGGGGUGGGGACAGUGGGGACGGUGGAGAUGGUGGGGACAAUGGGAGCGGGGGCGAUGGAGAUGAUGUGGGUAGAGAUGAUGGAGGCAGGGAUGAUGACAAUGGGGAUGGAGACGAUGGAGAUGGAGACAAUGGAAAUGGGGAUGACGGAGAUGUAGGUGAUGAAGACGUUGGGGAUGUGAGUGGGGGAGAUGGGGACGAUGAAGAUGGAGAUGAUGGGGGUGAUGGAAUGGGAAUGGUGGAAAUGGGAACGAGUGGAACGGAGUCGGAGAUGAUGGGGGUGAUGGAGACAUGGAGAUGGGGACGGGAUGAAGGAGGUGGAGGUGAGGAUGGGGAUGAUGGAGGAGGAAAAAAUGGGGACCAUGGGAAUGGGAACCAUGGAAACAGUGGAGAUGGGGACAGUGGGGAUGAUGAAGCUGGGGACAAUGGGGACGGAGAUGAUGGAGGUGAUGGGGACAGUAGAGGUGGAGGUGAUGGAGAUGAUGGGAAUGGAGAUGGAGAUGAUGGAGAUCGUGGGGAUGGAGAGGACGGGGACAGUAGGGAUAAAGAUAAUGGAGAUGAUGGGGAUGAAGAUGAUGGAGAUGGUGAGGACAGUGGAGGUGGAGGUGAUGGAGAUGGGGAUGCAGAAGAUGGGGUCAAUGGAGAUGAAGAGGAUGGAGAUCAUGGGGAUGAAGGUGAUGGAGAUCAUGGGGAAGGAGAUGAUGAGGACAGUGAAGGUAGGGGUGAUGGCGACAACGGAGAUGGAGAUGAUGGAAAUCAUGGGUGGGGUGGAGAUCUUUGGGGCGAUGGGGACAAUGCAGAUGAAGGUAAUGGAGAUGCUGGGGACAACGGAGGUGUUGGAGUUGAUAAGGAUGAUGGGGAUGGGGACGGUGGAGAUGAUGGAGGUGAUGGAGAUGAUGGGGAUGGAGAUGAUGGGGAUGGAGAUGAUGGGGGAUGAUGGAGAUGAUGAGGGCAGUGGAGGUGGAGAUGUUGGGAUGAUGGGGACAGGGAUGAUAGGGAUAAAGAAGAUGGAGAUGAUGAUGGGGAUGGAGAUGAUGGGGAGGAGGCA